rnacentral:rRNA from 1 species
GACAGAGGAUGCAAGCGUUAUCCGGAAUGAUUGGGCGUAAAGCGUCUGUAGGUGGCUUUUCAAGUCCGCCGUCAAAUCCCAGGGCUCAACCCUGGACAGGCGGUGGAAACUACCAAGCUGGAGUACGGUAGGGGCAGAGGGAAUUUCCGGUGGAGCGGUGAAAUGCAUUGAGAUCGGGAAGAACACCCGUGGCGAAGGCGGCUCUCUGGGACGGUACUGACGCUGAGACGCGAAAGCGUGGGGAGCGAACAGG